GAAGCGGAGGUAAGAGAAGAGCUGCUAACUCUGACUCUAAGCGGUUAAACUCCGUUUACGCUUUU
rnacentral:tRNA from 1 species